rnacentral:rRNA from 1 species
GAUGAACGCUGGCGGCGUGCCUAAUACAUGCAAGUCGAGCGAACAGACGAGGAGCUUGCUCCUCUGACGUUAGCGGCGGACGGGUGAGUAACACGUGGAUAACCUGCCUAUAAGACUGGGAUAACUUCGGGAAACCGGAGCUAAUACCGGAUAAUAUAUUGAACCGCAUGGUUCAAUAGUGAAAGACGGUUUUGCUGUUACUUAUAGAUGGAUCCGCGCCGCAUUAGCUAGUUGGUAAGGUAACGGCUUACCAAGGCAACGAUGCGUAGCCGACCUGAGAGGGUGAUCGGCCACACUGGAACGGAGACACGGUCCAUACUCCUACGGGAGGCACCAGAAGGGAAUCUUCCGCAAUGGGCGAAAGCCUGACGGAGCAACGCCGCGUGAGUGAUGAAGGUCUUCGGAUCGUAAAACUCUGUUAUUAGGGAAGAACAAAUGUGUAAGUAACUAUGCACGUCUUGACGGUACCUAAUCAGAAAGCCACGGCUAACUACGUG